ensembl:lncRNA
AAAAAGAAAUACUUAUUCUCACAUUCUAGAACACCAUUUUGAGGUAGUUACUGUCAUGAACUUUAGUUUUUACAGAUGAGGAACGAAAUGGAAGAUUAACUAACAGUUCAAAGUCAUACAUGAUUGAUGACAGAGAAAAUGCAGGCCAAGACUACCUAGGGAGAGCGUCAGCCACUGUUGGCUCAGCCUUCCUGCAUCAACUAACAAUCAAGAAAAUUCUACACAGAUAAAGGAGUUUCUGGCAGUACAGACGAUGGAGAUCACAUCCUUCCAUGUGCUAGUGACUAACUGGAGAACGACCUCUGUCUGACUGCUCUGGUAGAUGGUAGACUCAUGAUGGCACAUCAACUUGGUGGGAAAAGAACAUUUUGAGAUUGAGUAUCUCCAGUGGAAAAGUUCUGCCAUGCUAAGCUGUGUCAAGCUGGCAGCUCAAGCUAAUGAGGACUACCACCACUGCUUUCAGGAGUGAACUGUUGCAAAAUGGGGAGUUAUGCUGGUGAAUAUGACAGAAUUUUUUCAUAUUGUAGCGUACACAUAAGCUAAACAUAUUUUAUUAUGCUUGAAAUGUGGACUCUGGAGGGAUAGGGUGAGGAAAAGAUCUAUUUAGUAGCAUAGAGUUAAGAACACCCUGGAUCCAGUUUUUAAAAUUAUUUCAUUGGGAAUGAUGGCAAGAAGCAGAAUUUAGGUCCUGUGAACUGGCAAAGAAUUUAAUUUUUCUAGGGUCAGUGGUAAUGGUGAAACAUGUUUUGGAAGGGUAGGGAAUGGGGUUAAGUCAGGAAAAUUGUUGCUAAAUGCCUUAUUGCACAAGUUCUCAUGGGUUGUGAUCCCUUUGAGGAUCAAAUGACCCUUUCACGGGGUCACAGAUCUGAUAAACCUUAUAUAUCAGAUUCAUAACAGUAGCAAAAUUACAGUUAUGAAGUAGCAAUGAAAUUAAUGUUAUGGGUAGGGGGUCACCACAACGUGAGGAACUGUAUUAAAAGGUCACAGCAUUAGGAGGGUUGAGAACCCCACUGUCUACAUUGUUUUUGUUUUUAUUUUUAUUUUUUGCUCUUUCCCCUUUCAACAAAUACUUGUUGGUUUCAUCUGAAAUGACUGCAUGAAUUUGUGUUCAGC